rnacentral:rRNA from 1 species
UACGUAGGGGGCGAGCGUUGUCCGGAGUUACUGGGCGUAAAGCGCUUGUAGGCGGUCCACCAAGUUUGGGGUGACAGUUGCCGACUUAAUCGGCAAAGUGCCUCAAAGACUGGCGGGCUUGAGGGCCACAGGGACAUGGAACUCCAGGUGUAGUGGUGAAAUGCGUAGAUAUCUGGAAGAACACCAAAGGCGAAGGCAGUGUCCUGGGUGGUCGCUGACGCUGGGAGGCGAAAGCCAGGGGAGCGAACGGG